rnacentral:lncRNA from 1 species
GGAAAGGAAGAAGAUGGGUUAGAAUAAAAAGCAGCUGUCCUGGUGGCCUCUACCCUGAGGAGUAGCAAGGGGGCUCUUCCUUGGCUUUCAAGGCUUAACCAUGAGGCCCACUACUCUCACCAGUGACUGAAGGAGAGUGAGAUCACAGGGAUUUUGGGCACAGUAUCCAUGCAAAAGAAUUCUAUGUCAACUGGGACAGAGCCACUCUUCUCAGUGGCCUAAAGCAAGGAGUGCCAAACCAAAUGAGCAACACAGAAGACCUUACCUAGUUUAGGGAUGAUCUGGUGGGAGUUGGGAGGCCUGGGCCCAAUGAAAGGAAGGUGGGCUAAGAGAUGCCUAGGACCCACUUAAAUGUGCCACUUGUUUGGUGCCUCUCAGGCUUGGUGAAGCUCACUGGAUGCUACAGGAUGCCCCUGAUCCCCACCUACAUCCCAAGAAUAAAGCAAGCUGCCUUUUUACUCUGUUGA